UACGUAGGGUGCGAGCGUUAAUCGGAAUUACUGGGCGUAAAGCGUGCGCAGGCGGUGAGCUGUGUCCGAUGUGAAAGCCCCGGGCUUAACCUGGGAAUGGCAUUGGAAACUGGCUCGCUGGAGUGUGGCAGAGGGGGGCGGAAUUCCGCGUGUAGCAGUGAAAUGCGUAGAGAUGCGGAGGAACACCGAUGGCGAAGGCAGCCCCCUGGGCUAACACUGACGCUCAGGCACGAAAGCGUGGGGAGCAAACAGG
rnacentral:rRNA from 1 species